AACACGGACCAAGAAGUCUUGAAUGUGCGCGAGUCAAAGGGCUGGCUAAACCCCAAGGCGAAACGAAAGUGAAGUUUUUUCGUAGGGCUGAUCCGUUUCGGGGUGCGUGAGCCGGAGUUAGCGUCGUCGUUCGUCGCCGUCUGGUCGAUAUCUUCCUAAGCGGGGUGAAGUCGAAGGCGGAUGCUCGGCGGCGGUGCGCUCCUACCUCUCCCCCCGAUUUACCACCUUUACAUGUGGACGGCGCAAGCCCGGGGCCCGCAUUACGUUCCUCUCCGCCGUUAAGGCCUACCCGGUCGUCUCGCGGCGAGGUUUUCCCUCUUAGGCCGCGGAGUAGAGAGGGGCUCUAGCGCGACUUUACCCAGGCAAAGUUGCUGCACGCCUGCCGCUGCCGCCGCUGCCGUACACCAACGUCGGAUAGGUACGCGAUCAUUGCGCCCGCGUGCCCAUUCGUCGUGGUUGCUGUAGUGUCGGUGGUGGUAAAUACGCUCCAGCAGUGGCUUUUGCCUGACGUAAUGUUCGUCGUUAUCCUCUCUGCCCUGCUCCGUUGGUCUACUGACGUUGAAAGGGGAUCUCGCUCGGGGCGUCGGGUCGCUGGCGCGAGACGGACGGCGGGUACCUUGAGCGCACAUUCUAGGACCCGAAAGAUGGUGAUCUAUGCGUGGCGAGGAUGAAGCCAGGGGAAACCCUGGUGGAAGUCCGUAGCGAUUCUGACGUGCAAAUCGAUCGU
rnacentral:rRNA from 1 species